rnacentral:lncRNA from 1 species
ACACUCCUUACGUUCCAAUUACUCCUCCAAAAGCACCUUAUCAUCCAAAUCCACCUUAUGUUCCAACCCCUCCAAACACUCCUUAUGUUCCAAUUACUCCUCCGAGAGCACCUUAUGUUCCAGCACCUCCUCAAACUCCAACUGUUCCAACUCCUCCAGAAACUCCUUAUCAUCCACCCUAUGUUCCAAUACCUCCUCCUAAAACACCUUCACCUAUUUCCAGUCCUCCCUAUGUUCAUCCAAAACCACCUUCACCUAUUCAUUAUCCACCUAAUGUUCCAACACCUCCAAAAACUCCUUCCCCUGUAUACACUCCUCCCAAUGUUCCCACUCAAGCACCUUCACCUGCUAAUCAUCCUCCAUAUAUUCCAACUCCUCCACAAACUCCUUCCCCAGUUUAUACUCCUCCUAAUUUUCCAACGCCUCCAAAAAUACCCUCUCCUGUGUACACUCCCCCAAAAGCUCCUUCCCCUAGUAACAAUCCACCCUAUGUUCCUACACCUCCAAAAACACCUUCUCCUUCUUAUAAUCCUCCUAAUGUUCCCACUCCUCCCAAAACACCUUCACCUAUUUACACUCCACCAAAUGUUCCUACUCCUCCAAAAACACCAUCUCCUGCUUAUAGUCCUCCAAAUGCUCCUUCCCCUCAUAACCAACCAAAUGUUCCUACUCCUCCAAAAACACCAUCUCCUGCUUAUAGUCCUCCAAAUGCUCCUUCCCCUCAUAACCAACCUCCCUAUGUUCCUACACCUCCAAAAACACCUUCUCCUUCUUAUAAUCCUCCUAAUGUUCCCACUCCUCCCAAAACACCUUCACCUAUUUACACUCCACCAAAUGUUCCUACUCCUCCAAAAACACCAUCUCCUGCUUAUAGUCCUCCAAAUGCUCCUUCCCCUCAUAACCAACCUCCCUAUGUUCCUACACCUCCAAAAACACCUUCUCCUUCUUAUAAUCCUCCUAAUGUUNNN